ACAGGAAACUGUGGUCCGACUGAAAAAACAGUUCCCCUUGGAAACAACUUUGUUGAAACGUUGACUCACUUGUGCAUCAUUUCCAUAUAMAGUUAGUUAGCGUUAAAUUAAUCAGGAAUUUUGUGUAAAUCUGACUUGCCUUUCUCGUCUCGCUCGGAUAACUUUAGUCAACGUUUGGUAUGGGUGUAAUUUGGACAAAUUCAGAUAGAUCCUUCUCGACUUUGUUCCGUUUGUGUUUUGCAACAUAAUUGGCGUAAUCUGUUGCAAUUUCUGAUCUCAGGCUAACAUCCUGCUGUCCUCGGCUGGAUUUCCCAAAAGCAUCAUAGUACUAAAAUAAUCUUAAUUCCAUUGAAAUUAAAUGAACGAAAGAUGAUUGCAGUGCUACGAUGCUUUUGGGAUAACAAGCUCUGGUCUGGGCAUCAUUUCUGCCACCUGCAGGAGGAGGUUGAAGCUGCACGAUCAAGUUAAACUGAAAUUCUUUCUCACUGUCACCCAUGCAGUGCUCUUCUCCUCACCUGCCCCCAACAACUGUACCAACAGCCAACAUGCCCCGUUUCCUACUGUCGAAGCCAAGAGAAGACCAUCAUGACGACAGAAGAGGUUCACCUACAGGUACUGCUGUCUGCCUUGGCCUCCCAGGUGUCCCAUCCAGAGAACAUGGAAGAUUAUUUAUUUAUUUAACGAAAGGACGUACUCCGCUCUGCCACCAAGGCAUUCAGCUGGAAACGAUUCAACCUCAGAGGUUCAACGUGAGGGGUCAGUCGACCAACAUGGUCAAACACAGGAGUUCCUUCAGCUGUUGAUGGCAGCCAUCCGAGACUGUUGUUUGUUCCAGGGGCCAGACCACUGCAAAAGCCUAAUAUUGGACUAGUAUUGCUGCUAGUGAGGUCAUGGAGGAAGAGUCUUCAAUCCUGCGUCCGCUGGGGGUCCUCAGCCCUGUCCAGACAUGGGAGGAAAGGGAAGACAUUGUGCGGUUUGCUGCGAGGGGCUAUUUGGAUGUUUGGUUGUCAUGUGGACCAGUAAGUAUGUUUUGUACAAUAACUGCUGAGUUGGGCCUAGUCACUUUUGGCACAGCAGUGAGAUAAAACCAGUUACAGUAAUUACUUUUAUGAGCUCAGUCUCUUGUGCACGUCCCUCACUCUGUGUUGCGUGUUGUCCUUUUUGUUGUGUUUAAACCAAAUGAAAGGAGGACUGGCUACUCUGGGCUUGCUAGAGGCAUCCUGCUGUAUUCAAGCAGAUGUUACUAGCCAGACCUCUCUCUGCAGUAGACCUCACGCUCUUCCACGUGAACUUCUCAGCCCCCGGUAGUGAUGAGAGAAUAGCUGAGGACAUAACGUAUGGCUACUGGAGGGACUGGCUUAUUGGGGUGGAGUGGAUGUGAGUCUCUGACCGUCAAGAAGCUUCUGGUCUUCGUGUCUGGCCGGGGGGGGGGGCACACUGGGCUUCCCCACACAGCCCACCAUGGAGUUCCUGCACACUCGGGGGGGGGAGAGACAGGUGUUCUCCACGCUGUACCUUGCACUCUCGUCCUCCGUCUCCCAGUCCACUCCUCAUAUCAGCAGUUCAAGGAGUCCAUGACCUCAGACAUACUCCAGACAUAGGAGUCCAUGACCUCAGGCAUAUUCCAGGAGAAGAGGAGUCCAUGACCUCAGAAAGUACUCCAGACAGAGGAGUCCAUGACCUCAGGUGUACUCCAGACACAGAGGAGUCCAUGACCUCAGGUGUACUCCAGACACAGAGGAGUCCAUGACCUCAGAAAGUACUCCAGACGUAGAGGAGUCCAUGACCUCAGGUGUACUCCAGAGACAGAGGAGUCCAUGACCUCAGGUGUACUCCAGACACAGAGGAGUCCAUGACCUCAGAAAGUACUCCAGACGUAGAGGAGUCCAUGACCUCAGAAAGUACUCCAGACGUAGAGGAGUCCAUGACCUCAGGCGUACUCCCAGACACUCAUGUUGGCUUGAGAAGCCUCACUAGAGAAACCAGGUAGACUAAGACAGUGAGCAGGUCAAUGCCUCAGACGUCUAAGAACAAGACGGCUGUUUGGUCCUUGCAACAUGUGUCCCUCCAGUUAAAGAUCAGGUGUCAGUCUGACUGUUUCUUAAUUGUCUUCAUUAUCUCUGCAUUAUCUCUGGGCAGUUCCAGGUUCACUAUCUACAGUAUGUGAAGUUUAUCCAGGGUGGUCCUCCUGAGAAACAAACUACAGACACAAAACAAGAUGCUGUCACCUUCACCCUGACUCGGGGUUCCGUUCUGGAACACUUUGUUGUUGACACAUCUGACGUGCUAAAGUUCUGUAGAUAAUAGCCCCUGUGCCAGAGGGCCAAAGAGGGAUCCACAUGUUCCAGCUUAUUGAUUACUGCUUUGGUGACUAACUUUUAUUCAUGGCUGUGAUUAGUACAUUUGUUAUAGUGCCUGUCUUUUAUUCCUGGCUGUGUUUGUGUCGGUCAGAAGUACUCAGUGGCUUUUCCAUGUCACUUACGUAAUUCUGAUUAUGUAAAUAGUUAAGCAACCAUGUGAACAUCACCAUAUUACCCACAUUAAACCACAACACAGACCUCCAAAUAAAUGAACUUGAAGUCA